AGAGUUUGAUCCUGGCUCAGGACGAACGCUGGCGGCGUGCCUAAUACAUGCAAGUCGAGCGGAGUUUCCGCGGCGGAAGCCUUCGGGCGGAAGACGCGGAGACUUAGCGGCGGACGGGUGAGUAACACGUGGGCAACCUGCCCGGAAGACCGGGAUAACAUCCGGAAACGGAAGCUAAUACCGGAUAGGCGGACUCCUCGCAUGAGGGGAUCGGGAAAGGCGGGGCAACCUGCCGCUUCCGGAUGGGCCUGCGGCGCAUUAGCUAGUAGGUAGGGUAACGGCCUACCUAGGCGACGAUGCGUAGCCGACCUGAGAGGGUGAACGGCCACACUGGGACUGAGACACGGCCCAGACUCCUACGGGAGGCAGCAGUAGGGAAUCUUCCGCAAUGGGCGAAAGCCUGACGGAGCAACGCCGCGUGAGUGAGGAAGGUCUUCGGAUCGUAAAGCUCUGUUGCCAGGGAAGAAGUCUUGGGA
rnacentral:rRNA from 1 species